UACGUAGGGUGCGAGCGUUAAUCGGAAUUACUGGGCGUAAAGUGUGCGCAGGCGGCCGAGCAAGUCGAGUGUGAAAGCCCCGGGCUUAACUUGGGAAUUGCGCUCGAAACUACUUGGCUGGAGUGUGGCAGAGGAAGGUGGAAUUCCAGGUGUAGCGGUGAAAUGCGUAGAUAUCUGGAGGAACACCAGCGGCGAAGGCGGCAUCCUGGACUGGUCCUGACACUCAUGAGCGAAAGCGUGGGGAGCGAUCCGG
rnacentral:rRNA from 1 species